CUGAGAGGGUGAUCGGCCACAUUGGAACUGAGACACGGUCCAAACUCCUACGGGAGGCAGCAGUGGGGAAUAUUGCACAAUGGGCGAAAGCCUGAUGCAGCAACGCCGCGUGAGCGAUGAAGGCCUUCGGGUCGUAAAGCUCUGUCCUCAAGGAAGAUAACGGUACUUGAGGAGGAAGCCCCGGCUAACUACGUGCCAGCAGCCGC
rnacentral:rRNA from 1 species